rnacentral:rRNA from 1 species
GAUGAACGCUGGCGGCGUGCCUAAUACAUGCAAGUCGAGCGAACAGACGAGAAGCUUGCUUUUCUGAUGUUAGCGGCGGACGGGUGAGUAACACGUGGAUAACCUACCUAUAAGACUGGGAUAACUUCGGGAAACCGGAGCUAAUACCGGAUAAUAUUUUGAACCGCAUGGUUCAAAAGUGAAAGACGGUCUUGCUGUCACUUAUAGAUGGAUCCGCGCUGCAUUAGCUAGUUGGUAAGGUAACGGCUUACCAAGGCAACGAUGCAUAGCCGACCUGAGAGGGUGAUCGGCCACACUAGAACUGAGACACGGUCCAGACUCCUACGGGAGGCAGCAGUAGGGAAUCUUCCGCAAUGGGCGAAAGCCUGACGGAGCAACGCCGCGUGAGUGAUGAAGGUCUUCGGAUCGUAAAACUCUGUUAUUAGGGAAGAACAUAUGUGUAAGUAACUGUGCACAUCUUGACGGUACCUAAUCAGAAAGCCACGGCUAACUACGUG